GUGGGAGUUGUGCAACUGAUCCUAUGACCUGAGAUCACCAUGGUAUCUUGUGCACAUGAACCCAUAUUUUGGUUUACACUCAUUCAUGACAAUAAGUUAUGUACGAGGUCUUCUGGAUAUGGUGAAUUGUGUACAAAGAUUAUGAGUAGGUCAACAAGGAAUUAAUCACUUCUAGUAAGAGAAGAUAGCAUCCUAUUUAUUCUAAUCAUAUGAUAAUUCAGGAAGCCUUUGAUCAAAGCAGAAUGAAAAUUAGAAAGAGUUUCUAAUGUUUCAUUAUUUGAAUUAUCAUUAAAAGAUUGAGAAAAAUAUGAAUAUGAAAUUGAGUUUGACAUAUAUUCAUACUCAUAUACAUAUUUGGGAUGCAGUUUGAUUAAAGGAUUGAAUUGCAUGGUAACUUGCCACUGAAGGGUAUUUUUGGUAUUUCCACCAAAUUUCAUAUUUUCGGGUAGACAUGACACGUUGCUAGACGUCAAUCUUGUUUUAUAGGUUUGAUCAAAUUAAAGAGUUUAAUUCGAUCACCAAUUAGAAAGGAUUCUAAUUGUUAAGUUCGGGUUCGGGCAGUUUGGACUUAAAUCGAUUAGAAGAGUUCUAAUCAAGUUGGGUCAACUCGCACUCACACCUAAUGCUGGCUAAGUAUGGAACCCAAUGGGUCACACACAAG
rnacentral:lncRNA from 1 species